GAUGAAGAACGCAGUGAAAUGCGAUAAGUAAUGUGAAUUGCAGAAUUCAGUGAAUCAUCGAGUCUUUGAACGCACAUUGCGCCCCCUGGUAUUCCGGGGGGCAUGCCUGUCCGAGCGUCAUUGCUGCCCUCAAGCACGGCUUGUGUGUUGGGCCUCCGUCCUCCUCCCGGGGGACGGGCCCGAAAGGCAGCGGCGGCACCGCGUCCGGUCCUCGAGCGUAUGGGGCUUCGUCACCCGCUCUUGUAGGCCCGGCCGGCGCUUGCCGACACAUCAAUCUUUUUUCCAGGUUGACCUCGGAUCAGGUAGGGAUACCCGCUGAACUUAAGCAUAUCAAUAAGCGGAGGA
rnacentral:misc_RNA from 1 species